UGUUAAUACUAAGUUAUUUCUAAACUCCUUACAAUAUUAUAAUCCUAUGACCUUAGUCAUUCAAGCCAUACCCUCUGAGAAGGUCUAUCCAACCAGGCCUUUGGCUGGAAAUGAUACAAAAAACAUGCAAAAUCUGAUAUAAUCUUCCCCAUGCGUUGUUCUCCAAAUUUUCUCUUUCAACUCUCCCUUAUCUCUUUGUGUUUGUGUCUGGUCAAGCUGGAAACUCACAGUUCCCCUCAGGUACCCUGAUAUCUCUUACCUUUAGGCUGGGUAAUUGCCACCCAUGCAAAUCCUUGGUCUUUCUUCGCAGGUUUUCCUGUUCUAUUUCUUUCAGGAUUCAACAUGUACACCAUGGUCUUCCAUGAAGCUUUUCCUGACUCUGUAAGACUGCUGGCUAUUUCUGCUAUACCUGCAAUGGACAUCACAAUUAAUGUUAACAAAAAUGGAUGAUUUGACCGGAUUAGUCCCCAUCGCUAGAGAAUUGUGCCCCCAAGAAAUGGACCACAGAAAGGUUCUUGAUGAUGAAUCUGAUGCCAGCAAAUACCUGGGCCUGAAAUGCAGAACCUACGGGAAGAUCAAGAAAUGUCACUUCUGAGAAAAAAAAUGUCUAAUGCAAAGAGUGAAGAGAGCUUUUUAUAUCUUACACUGACCACAACACACAGUUCAGAAAACUUAAAUAACCCUAACUAAAAUUUUAAAGGUGCUUCAAAGCAUAGAAAGUACCUUGACAUGCAUUUUCUCAUUGAAUUCUUAUAAACCUAUAAAAUGGUGCUUACACCAUUUCAGAAAUGAGAAAAUGGUGGCCCAGAAAAUAAAGCAGCAUGCACAAGACCACGCGCUGCACAGGGGACUGAUCUGAUACCAAAACUUGACUGCAGAUUAUUUACUUUCAACUCUCACCAGCAAAACGGACAAAAGUGCUUUGGACAUGCAAGUGUUUAUUAUGUUGCAUUUUGGAACUCCAGACCUAAAACCAAACAUAAAUAAAUAUAAAACAAAACAAAACAAAACAAAGAAGCACUAAAGAUCAAACCCAUCCUCAAACCCAAACAUCCAGAAAAUAAAAGGAAAUUAUUUUUUUUCCUUAGGGGAAGCAAGUGGAAACAGACACCUGGUUGAUUUCAUAUGGGAUUAGCUCUCAACUCUGAUGAGCCUCAUGGUCUCCUGGAUCUUCCUAAACCAAGGCUCUGGGACAGUAAUUAAUCAGAUGGAAAGUCUGGGAAUUUAUCUCACCACCAUCACUGCUUCUGCUGAAUGCUGACUUAAAGAUGUGAAUCCACUCAAUUAUCUCACAGUUAGGAAGAAGUGAAUCUAUAGUUCAACGACACAGAGAUGAGAGCCCAGGACAAUACCUAAGAGUCUGACUGCAAUUAAUUAGACAGAUAGCAUCUCGUAUUUGGGAAAGACCUUAAAGGUCUCAUCCAAUCUCCCUCCUACUACAAGAAUCCUUCCCUAGCAAGCCUGACAAAUCACCACCUGGUGUUGGCUCCUGAGAUAGGAAUUUUCAUUGUCGCGAGGCACCCG